UACGGAGGGGGCUAGCGUUGUUCGGAAUUACUGGGCGUAAAGCGCACGUAGGCGGCCUGUUAAGUCGGGGGUGAAAUCCUGGGGCUCAACCUCAGAAUUGCCUCCGAUACUGGCAGUCUCGAGUGCGGGAGAGGUGAGUGGAAUUCCCAGUGUAGAGGUGAAAUUCGUAGAUAUUGGGAAGAACACCGGUGGCGAAGGCGGCUCACUGGCCCGUAACUGACGCUGAGGUGCGAAAGCGUGGGGAGCAAACAGG
rnacentral:rRNA from 1 species